AGAAUCAACGCUGGCGGCGUGCCUAACACAUGCAAGUCGAACGAGAAAGUGGAGCAAUCCAUGAGUACAGUGGCGCACGGGUGAGUAACACGUGAAUCAUCUACCUCCGAGUGGGGAAUAACCUAGAGAAAUCUGGGCUAAUACCGCAUAAUACCCACGGGUCAAAGCAGCAAUGCGCUUGGAGAGGAGUUCGCGGCCGAUUAGUUAGUUGGCGGGGUAAUGGCCCACCAAGACGAUGAUCGGUA
rnacentral:rRNA from 1 species